UACGUAGGGGGCAAGCGUUGUCCGGAUUCAUUGGGCGUAAAGAGCGUGUAGGCGGCUUCACAGGUCCGCUGUGAAAACUCGAGGCUCAACCUCGAGCUGUCGGUGGAAACCGUGUGGCUAGAGUCCGGAAGGGGAGAGUGGAAUUCCCGGUGUAGCGGUGAAAUGCGCAGAUAUCGGGAAGAACACCCGUGGCGAAGGCGGCUCUCUGGGACGGUACUGACGCUGAGACGCGAAAGCGUGGGGAGCGAACAGG
rnacentral:rRNA from 1 species